rnacentral:rRNA from 1 species
UACGUAGGGGGCUAGCGUUGUCCGGAAUCAUUGGGCGUAAAGCGCGUGUAGGCGGUCCGGUAAGUCCGCUGUGAAAGUCGAGGGCUCAACCCUCGAAUGCCGGUGGAUACUGUCGGGCUUGAGUACGGGAGAGGCGAGUGGAAUUCCUGGUGUAGCGGUGAAAUGCGCAGAUAUCAGGAGGAACACCAAUAGCGAAGGCAGCUCGCUGGGACGGUACUGACGCUAAGGGCGCGAAAGCGUGGGGAGCGAACAGG